rnacentral:rRNA from 1 species
CCUACGGGAGGCAGCAGUGGGGAAUAUUGGACAAUGGGCGAAAGCCUGAUCCAGCCAUGCCGCGUGUGUGAAGAAGGCCUUCGGGUUGUAAAGCACUUUCAGUGGGGAAGAAAGCCUUGGGGCUAAUACCCUCGAGGAAGGACAUCACCCACAGAAGAAGCACCGGCUAACUCCGUGCCAGCAGCCGCGGUAAUACGGAGGGUGCGAGCGUUAAUCGGAAUUACUGGGCGUAAAGCGCGCGUAGGCGGUCUGAUAAGCCGGUUGUGAAAGCCCCGGGCUCAACCUGGGAACGGCAUCCGGAACUGUCAGGCUAGAGUGAAGGAGAGGAAGGUAGAAUUCCCGGUGUAGCGGUGAAAUGCGUAGAGAUCGGGAGGAAUACCAGUGGCGAAGGCGGCCUUCUGGACUGACACUGACGCUGAGGUGCGAAAGCGUGGGUAGCAAACAGGAUUAGAUACCCGAGUAGUC